CCAGCUCCUUCUCCAGCACCCGCAGCCCCUCGGCUGACAUUUCAGAAACACAGCCCAAGCUGAAAUGGGCAGCCUGCCCAUGGAAGAGAUGGGGCAGAGGGAGACUGUGGCCUGUUCACACAGUUUGGUGGAAAGUGAAGACUGAAGGGGCUUACAAACAACAACAAAGCAAACAAGCAAGCAAAAAAACUCUAAAGCAAAGGAGAUCCAAAAGGAAAAUUCCAAAUGCCUUGGCAUCUGGGUAGGGCAAUAUUUUGCAGCAAGAAGUCUCUAUCAUCUCUGAGUCACCAUUCAUAGGAAACAGCUCAGCCCCUUCGGGGAUUCUGGGAGUUGGAAGAGGCCAACUUUUCCUACCUGCAGUUUGAAGAUUAAGGACUUAGAGAUUUGUUGAGAGGCUGCUUCCGAGAGGUUACUGAUACACUGAGGACAGGAACUACUGACUACUCUGAAUGAGGGAAAAACAUCCAGUUUGGGGUGAUCCUGUUUUGCAAUGGCAGCUGUCAGCCAUAACAUGGUGGGAAAUAACGGUAAAUAAACCUCCUGUGAUUGGCAAGAAUAUAAAAAAA
rnacentral:lncRNA from 1 species